rnacentral:lncRNA from 1 species
AAGUUUUGAUACUAUCUUGUUACUUAUGUUCAUAUCAUAUUGCAGUUGUGAACAGAGUCACUAGCUCUUUGAAUAAUAAUUAAAUACUAUUGAGAAAUGUCAGCCCUCUGCGAUUCCCUCAGGUUCUUUUUGGCGCCAUCAAUAUUUUAUUGUUUACCAUUUACUUCAUGGUUUGGAACUCUUCCUGUCUUCCUCCCAACCCAAUAAAACUCUGUAAUUUAAGCAGCAGCUCAGGAAGUGAGGGGGAUGAGGUUGGUUUGGGUCUUCUGAAACAGACGGACUGCAUAAGAGUCUAAUGCCUAAUAUAAUUUUCUCUGACAUCACCCAAGACAUCAUAGGUAUAUCAGAUUUUAAGAUUAUCAUAUGUCUUUCAGUUAUUGGGGCAGUUUCAAUUAAUGCCCCAAAAAUAGCAGCACAACAACACAAUUUACAAAUAUUUAAUAUCUUCUGAAAAGCAUUUCUAAGUUAAGAAUGAAAAAGUAUGUACAUGGGAGGCUGAGACAGGCAGAUCACCUGAGGUCAGGAGUUUGAGACUAGCCUGGCCAACAUGGUCAAUCUCCAUCUCUACUAAAACUACAAUAAUUAGCCAGGCGUGGUGACCAGGUGGGUAAAGCUAGUAAAGUUAUGGCCAGCAAGUACAGCCAGGUUGAUAACUCCAACUGUGUAAGCCUUGUUGCGGGAAGUCAGUAAGGACAGCUGUGUAAACUAAGCAUGAAAUUCACAAUGGGGAAGACUAGGUGGAAAAACUAGGUAGGUAAUCCAGGUUGUUGAGACCACAUGGUUAAGGCCCACAGGUUUAGGCCAGGUGUGGAAAACCAAAGGGUUCAGGCAGGAGAAUCACUUAAGCCUGGGAGUUUGAGACCAGUCUGGACAACACAGUGAGAACCCCAUCUCUGAAAAAAACUUUUGUAAUUAGCUGGGUGUGGUGGUGUGUGCCUGUAGUUUCA